rnacentral:rRNA from 1 species
AGAGCAUACGGUGGAUGCCUUGGCGAUAUCUGCCGACGAAGGACGUGACAAGCUGCGAAAAGCUGCGGAGAGAUGCAAAUAAUCGGCGACCCGCAGACAUCCGAAUGGAGAAAUCCGGCUGUGAUGAUGCACAGCCAUCCAUGCCCAAGAGCAUGAGAAGGGAACCGGGCGAACUGAAACAUCUAAGUAGCCCGAGGAAAAGAAAUCAAACGAGAUACCCCAAGUAGCGGCGAGCGAACAGGGAAGAAGCCCAAACCGGUGAAGGAAACUUUACCGGGGUUGAGGACCAUCAGACCCGCGAAGAACCUUAGCCGAAACUGUUGGGAAACAGUGCCGAAGACAGUGAAAGCCUGGUAGGCGAAAAAGAGAAACGCGGAGAUGGCACCAGAGUACCGCGGGACACGAGAAAUCCCGUGGGAAGCAGGGGGGACCACCCUCCAAGGCAAAACACAGAUAUCGACCGAUAGCGCAUAGUACCAUGAGGGAAAGGUGAAAAGCACCCCGGGAGGGGAAUGAAAGAGAACCUGAAACCGUAUGUUUACAAGCAGUCGGAGACCGCUUAAUAAUAAGGUCGACGGCGUGCCUAUUGAAGAAUGAACCGGCGAGUUACGAAGCCUGGCAAGGUUAAGCAGGAAAUGCGGAGCCGAAGCGAAAGCGAGUCUUAAGAGGGCGCAAGUCAGGAAGCGUAGACCCGAAACCACAGUGAUCUACCCAUGUCCAGGUUGAAACACAGGUAAAAAUGUGUGGAGGACCGAACCUAUAUCCGUUGAAAAGGGUUAGGAUGAGGUGUGGGUAGGGGUGAAAUUCCAAUCGAACGUGGAGAUAGCUGGUUCUCCCCGAAAUAGCUUUAGGGCUAGCCUCAGGGAAAAGAUUGCAGGCGGUAGAGCACUGAUCAGGAGAGGGACCUACCCGGUUACCAAACCCAGUCAAACUCCGAAUGGCUGCAAUCAUACCUGGGAGUCAGACUGCGACUAAUAAGGGCCGCAGUCAAAAGGGAAACAGCCCAGACCAUCAGCUAAGGUCCCCAAUGCCGUGCUAAGUGGCGAAGGAUGUGGCAUUUCAUAAACAACCAGGAUGUUGGCUCAGAAGCAGCCACCAUUUAAAGAGUGCGUAAUAGCUCACUGGUCGAGAGACGCUGCGCCGAAAAUGUCCGGGGCUCAAGCACGGAACCGAAGCUAUGGCAUGAUAGCAAUAUCAUGGGUAGGGGAGCGUUCUUAUAAGGAAGAAGCAUGACCGGAAGGACAUGUGGACGAAUAAGAAGUGAGAAUGCCGGUAUGAGUAUCGAAAAGAAAGGUGAGAAUCCUUUCCACCGAAAGCCCGAGGGUUCCUGAGCAACGAUCGUCGACUCAGGGUAAGUCGGGACCUAAGCCGAGGCGAGAAGCGUAGGCGAUGGACAACAGGUUGAAAUUCCUGUACCGGAUCAAGUCGAUCGAGCGAAGGAGCGACGCAGGAGGGCACAUGAUCGCGCGGCUGGAAGAGCGCGUCCAAGUGCGUAUGCUGCAGCAGAGGAAAACCCCUGCGGCUGAAAGCAGAGACAUGAUGGGGAGUUAAAGGAAACUUUGACGAACUCAUGGAUCCCACACUGCCAAGAAAAACUUCUAGCGAGACAAGAUCCGCCCGUACCGUAAACCGACACAGGUAGGCGGGGAGAGAAUCCUAAGGUGCGCGGGAAAACCCUCGUUAAGGAACUCGGCAAAUUGCAUCCGUAACCUAGGGAGAAGGAUGGCCCCCGGUCAGUGAAGAGCAGAAACGCUCAGAGCUAAAAGGGGCGGCAGAAAAGAGGCCCAAGCAACUGUUUACCAAAAACACAGGUGCCUGCGAAAGCGAAAGCUGAAGUAUAGGUGCUGACGCCUGCCCGGUGCCGGAAGGUUAAGGAGAGAAGUUAGCGAAAGCGAAGCAUCGAACUGAAGCCCCGGUGAACGGCGGCCGUAACUAUAACGGUCCUAAGGUAGCGAAAUUCCUUGUCGGGUAAGUUCCGACCCGCAUGAAAGGCGUAAUGAUUUGGGCACUGUCUCAACGAGGGGCCCGGUGAAAUUGAAAUACCUGUGAAGAUGCAGGUUACCCGCGACUGGACAGAAAGACCCCAUGGAGCUUCACUGCAGCUUGAGAUUGAAUCCCGGUGACAGAUGCACAGGAUAGGUGGGAGGCGCCGAAGCAUUGCCCUAGGGCGGUGCGGAGCCGAUGUUGGGAUACCACCCUUCUGUUGCUGAGAUUCUAACGCGAGGAGUAACGACCCUGCGGACCCUCUCAGGCAGG